rnacentral:rRNA from 1 species
GUGCCAGCCGCCGCGGUAAUACGGAGGGGGCUAACGUUGUUCGGAAUUACUGGGCGUAAAGCGCGCGUAGGCGGAUUAGACAGUUGGGGGUGAAAUCCCGGAGCUUAACUUCGGAACUGCCUUCAAUACUACUAAUCUAGAGUUCGGAAGAGGUGAGUGGAAUUCCUAGUGUAGAGGUGAAAUUCGUAGAUAUUAGGAAGAACAUCAGAGGCGAAGGCGGCUCACUGGUCCGAUACUGACGCUGAGGUGCGAAAGCGUGGGGAGCAAACAGGAUUAGAUACCCGGGUAGUCCG